UACACAAAGCCCAGCAGGCCGGACUUCGGAAGAUGUUGUACAGGGUUCAUCGAUGUGUUUUUUAAGUUGUGUGAUGUACUCGCUUAGGAACUAGACGAGGCUUCACUAGAUCCACCUGCUUCUGCCAAUGGAUUAAAGGAGAUGUCAGACCCCGAGGAAUUGCAAACACAAACAAGCCCCUUUAAAGCCUGACUACAUCUCAGCCAGGAAACCUCACAUCAGGCCAGCUGGAAGCAUCACAGUAUGAUUACCAGCUUCCUGGCUUGCAACAGAUCUAAAGCAUGGAGAUUCAGAGGCCCAGCCCCAUCAAGGAACACCAAGGGGAAUUUAUUUGUGUAUUGGAAUGUCUUCAGUUUGAUGACACGUUUAAAGGAGGAAUCUUGACAAGACUCACUAUCACCUGCAAACUCCGAUUCUUUUGUAACAAGACCCCAUCAUGGGGUCAUUUACAACAAAGAUAGACUGUGUAGAUGCCCCAAUACAGAGAGAUUUUCUAAAUGAAA